rnacentral:lncRNA from 1 species
UUUGGUGUCUUUUUUAAAAGCUAGAUUUAUUUCCCAUUGUGUGGAUUCUCUGUGCUUUUAGAAUAUUUUGAAAUUUAUAUCUCACUUUGUUUAAGGCAGCCUAACAAAAUAUGUACACAACAACAGAGUGUUUUAAAAGUGAGGAAAAUUGAAGCCAAAGGAGAAUAAUGGUAGGAAAACAAACAUGAAGACAAGUGUGGUAUCAAAUUUGCGAAAAUGUCACAAAGUAAACUGGAUAUAUUGCCAUAAUUCCAGCUCAUGGAGCACUCC